UGGGGAAUAUUGCACAAUGGGCGCAAGCCUGAUGCAGCCAUGCCGCGUGUAUGAAGAAGGCCUUCGGGUUGUAAAGUACUUUCAGCGGGGAGGAAGGCGAUAAGGUUAAUAACCUUGUCGAUUGACGUUACCCGCAGAAGAAGCACCGGCUAACUCCGUGCCAGCAGCCGCGGUAAUACGGAGGGGUGCGACAAGCUAGUUCGAAAUUCGAAUUACUGGGCGUAAAGCGCACGCAGGCGGUCUGUCAAGUCGGAUGUGAAAUCCCCGGGCUCAACCUGGGAACUGCAUUCGAAACUGGCAGGCUGGAGUCUUGUAGAGGGGGGUAGAAUUCCAGGUGUAGCGGUGAAAUGCGUAGAGAUCUGGAGGAAUACCGGUGGCGAAGGCGGCCCCCUGGACAAAGACUGACGCUCAGGUGCGAAAGCGUGGGGAGCAAACA
rnacentral:rRNA from 1 species